GUGCCAGCCGCCGCGGUAAUACGAAGGGGGCAAGCGUUGUUCGGAAUUACUGGGCGUAAAGGGCGCGUAGGCGGCCGAUCAAGUCAGGCGUGAAAUUCCCGGGCUCAACCUGGGGGCUGCGCUUGAUACUGAUUGGCUUGAAUGCGGGAGAGGAUAGUGGAAUUCCCAGUGUAGAGGUGAAAUUCGUAGAUAUUGGGAAGAACACCGGUGGCGAAGGCGGCUAUCUGGCCCGUAAUUGACGCUGAGGCGCGAAAGCGUGGGGAGCAAACAGGAUUAGAUACCCUGGUAGUCC
rnacentral:rRNA from 1 species